ACAGCCCACUUCCGACUGCGGGAAUCAGAACUCACUGGUUCAGUCUGUACUGAUCCUGGGACUACAGCGUACCCGCACUAGAAGACCGCAUGUGUGAAAUCCUGAACCAGCGUCCAAAGCCUGUGGGAGAUGAGGUGGCUCGCAGAACCUUCCAGAAAUGCCAUAUAGGUUGGAAACAGUUCCUCUUUAGCGUCCUGUUCCCUUCUUGUAACAUCUGGUGCUGCUGAAGUCCACCUGAGAUACCUAAGAGUCAGACAUUGGCCUGUAUUAGCUCCAGGAUGAUGUGGUGAGGGUCGACGUAUUCUAAAAUCACAACCUCUAAAGACUCUCUUCUAUGAGACAUUUCACCUUAUUGGACCUGAAUUCUCUGCCGUGAGAACAACUGUUGUAGGGGGAGAUGUUGGCGUGAGGCGAGAGUGAGAAGACUGGAGCCUGGGUAACCUCGGUUUCCAGGCUGCUGACUUCUUCAUAUCCAGAAACAAACAUAAAGAUAAACCAGGAAAAUUAUCACCAAGCCACUGCUCAUUGAGUCCUUAGCCGCCUCCAUUCUCCACUAUCUUGGUGCCACUAAACUGUCCAUCUGCACUAAACUGCCUACUUAGUGACCAUAUGGACUGUGCUUCGUUUGAUACUGAAUCUUCAGAGCCUGCAGUAAUGUCUGGCAGACGAUUGUCACUCCAUAAAUGCAUUUGGAAAAGCACACACGCAUGCUUACCUAAUUAAAAUCUUCAUGAGCAUGACGGUAACUUUCAUAAGAAGGUUCCCACUCGGUUUAUCAUUUGAGACCAUGUAACCAGGAUUGUUAACCUCUGGAAAUGAAGUUCUCACAGAUAUUCCUUCAGUAAAAGAAUCUUAGGUAACCUCCUACCAGCCUUCCUGUCCACCCACCAGAAAAUACAUCCAUCCCACUAAGAUGGUACAAGCAUGGGUCCUAGCUUUGUUAUGUCUUGGCUUCCACAACCUUUUCUCUAACUACCUUAGCCUGCCAUCCACAGUCUGCACGUAGUCACCUUUGAUAUAGACUGCCCUGUGUUAUUUCUUUCUAAGCAUGUCAUUGCUGUCAGGAUUUCCACACCUACAUAUCCCAAGGGAAUAGGGACAGGAUUUUACCUUUAAUACAUGUUAUAAUGAUUUUCAUGUACUAGACCUUCAGUGAACACUUUUUUUUGGAGAAAAAGAAAAUUUAAAUAAAGAGUGUUUGGGAAGGA
rnacentral:lncRNA from 1 species